UCCACAACUCUUCUACUUAAUCCUAGUUUCACUUCUUCAAAGAAGAUAGUAGUAUCCGAGGGCUACAAGCACAAGAAGUAGCAAAGCAGCAGCAGCAGCAGCCCACAUCCAAUAAUUAGUUGACUUUUUCCUCCUCAGGAUAGCUUUUGGAAGUGAAUCUGUGCCCCUUGACCGAAUCCGGUGCUUGACAGAGUUCUCCUUCUUAACUUUUGCCUUCACUGAUGCAGGAGGUUCAUCAUGCGCUUCAACCUUCUCAGUUUCUGUUUCCUCCACAACUUCUUCAGCUGGAUCCUCAGAUUCAAUCAUAGAUGCAGAUGCUGCAGCUUUCUUCUUCAAUUUCUUUUCACGCUCCCUAAUCUUCUUUUCAGCUUCCUUUUGAGCUUUUAUAGCUGCUUUAGCUGCAGCUUUCUCAGCCAAUUUCUUCUUCCUCUCCAUGGCUUGCUUAGCUUUUUCCAUCUCUUCUUCUCUUUUGAGCUCCUUCAAUUUUGCUUCAUCUAUUUCCUGCUUUGCAGGGGGAUUAUUUUGCUGCUUUUUUAACCCAGAGAUCUCUUCAGACACAAUAACAUGCUCUGAAGUGGCCUUUGAAUCUGUCU
rnacentral:misc_RNA from 1 species